CAACGAAGACCCCCUCAAGUGGUGGUCAGACCGCCUGGCCCUCUUCCCCCUGCUGCCCAAGGUGCUGCAGAAGUACUGGUGCGUGACGGCCACGCGCGUCGCCCCUGAGCGUCUCUUCGGAUCCGCCGCCAACGUGGUCAGCGCCAAGAGGAACCGGCUGGCUCCCGCGCACGUGGACGAGCAGGUUGCUGCCAGAGAGCCUGCUUCCUGCUGCCUGCCGAAAUUUCACUUUGCGGAGUUGGUCCUUAAAACUGGGCGGUGGCCGGGCGUGGUGGCUCACGCUGAGGUCAGGAGUUCGAGACCAGCCUGGCCAACCAACAUGGUGAAACCUCGUGUCUACUAAAAAUACAAGAAACUAGCCAGAUGCGGUGGCACCCGCCUGUAAUCCCAGCUACUCGGGAGGCUGAGGCGGAAGAUUCGCUUGAGCCCAGGAGGUGGAGGUUGCAGUGAGCCAAGACUACGCCACUGCACUCCAGCCUGGAGGCCAGAGUGAGACUCCGUCUCAAAACAAAACAAAAGUGGGUGGCUCACGGGUCCGGAGGUUAUGUCUUCGGUGUCUCAGCCCUAAAAGUCCAGUUCCCCCGUGCGGCCAGCUUUUCCACAUAAGGUGUUUUUGAUUUGAUUACCGGAAAGGACUCUUGAUUCUUCUCUUUUAAACUGAAUACCAUAGGGGAAAUGAAUUUUAAAAUAUUGCCCCCGGAGGGGUUUUCCGUGGCUGGAUUCCUGCGAGUUGCUUUCAGUCAUUCAGGGAAACAGAAAGACGUUUUCCAACAUGUAGAACUGCUUUUUAACUGGAGGAAAAAUACUUCAGGAGGCUUAGCAUAUUGCUUGGAUUCUACGUGCAGCGGGUUCUCUGCCUCCGUGAAGACAAGCUGGGCUGGGGAGAACGGUGUCUAGGAGGGAUG
rnacentral:lncRNA from 10 species